rnacentral:rRNA from 1 species
GCCCGCUCAGAAACUACAAAGGAAGUUGACGGGGCCCGGCACAAGCGGUGGAGGUAUGUGGUUUAAUUCGAUGCAACGCGAAGAACCUUACCUGGUCUUGACAUCCCGGAGACCCUUAGGAAACUAGGGGGUGCUUCCAUCUGGAAGAAUCUGGAGACAGGUGCUGCAUGGCUGUCGUCAGCUCGUGCCGUGAGAUGUUGGGUUAAGUCCCGCAACGAGCGCAACCCUUGCCUUUAGUUGCCAGCAGUUCGGCUGGGCACUCUAAAGGGACUGCCGGUGUUAAACCGGAGGAAGGUGGGGAUGACGUCAAGUCCUCAUGGCCUUUAUGACCAGGGCUACACACGUACUACAAUGGCCGAUACAAAGGGCAGCGACACUGCGAGGUGAAGCCAAUCCCGUAAAAUCGGUCUCAGUCCGGAUUGGAGUCUGCAACUCGACUCCAUGAAGUUGGAAUCGCUAGUAAUCGUGGAUCAGCAUGCCACGGUGAAUACGUUCCCGGGCCUU